rnacentral:rRNA from 1 species
AACGAACGCUGGCGGCAUGCCUAACACAUGCAAGUCGAACGAGCCCUUCGGGUCUAGUGGCGCACGGGUGCGUAACGCGUGGGAACCUGCCCUUAGGUUCGGCAUAACUCCCCGAAAGGGGUGCUAAUACCGGAUAAUGUCUUCGGGCCAAAGAUUUAUCGCCUUUGGAUGUGCCCGCGUUGGAUUAGCUAGUUGGUAGGGUAAAAGCAUACCAAGGCGACGAUCCAUAGCUGGUCUGAGAGGAUGAUCAGCCACACUGGGACUGAGACACGGCCCAGACUCCUACGGGAGGCAGCAGUGGGGAAUAUUGGACAAUGGGCGAAAGCCUGAUCCAGCAAUGCCGCGUGAGUGAUGAAGGCCUUAGGGUUGUAAAGCUCUUUUACCCGGGAUGAUAAUGACAGUACCGGGAGAAUAAGCUCCGGCUAACUCCGUG